rnacentral:rRNA from 15 species
GCUUACGGCCAUACCACCCUGAACGCGCCCGAUCUCGUCCGAUCUCGGAAGCUAAGCAGGGUCUGGCCUGGUUAGUACUUGGAUGGGAGACCGCCUGGGAAUACCAGGUGCUGUAAGCC